rnacentral:rRNA from 1 species
CUCUUCGGAGUUAGUGGCGGACGGGUGAGUAACACGUGGGAACGUGCCUUUAGGUUCGGAAUAACUCAGGGAAACUUGUGCUAAUACCGAAUGUGCCCUUCGGGGGAAAGAUUUAUCGCCUUUAGAGCGGCCCGCGUCUGAUUAGCUAGUUGGUGAGGUAAAGGCUCACCAAGGCGACGAUCAGUAGCUGGUCUGAGAGGAUGAUCAGCCACAUUGGGACUGAGACACGGCCCAAACUCCUACGGGAGGCAGCAGUGGGGAAUCUUGCGCAAUGGGCGAAAGCCUGACGCAGCCAUGCCGCGUGAAUGAUGAAGGUCUUAGGAUUGUAAAAUUCUUUCACCGGGGACGAUAAUGACGGUACCCGGAGAAGAAGCCCCGGCUAACUUCGUGCCAGCAGCCGCGGUAAUACGAAGGGGGCUAGCGUUGCUCGGAAUUACUGGGCGUAAAGGGAGCGUAGGCGGACAUUUAAGUCAGGGGUGAAAUCCCGGGGCUCAACCUCGGAAUUGCCUUUGAUACUGGGUGUCUUGAGUAUGAGAGAGGUGUGUGGAACUCCGAGUGUAGAGGUGAAAUUCGUAGAUAUUCGGAAGAACACCAGUGGCGAAGGCGACACACUGGCUCAUUACUGACGCUGAGGCUCGAAAGCGUGGGGAGCAAACAGGAUUAGAUACCCUGGUAGUCCACGCCGUAAACGAUGAUUGCUAGUUGUCGGGAUGCAUGCAU